AUGAAUGAGACGCGUAUUAACAUGGGAAAAAAACCGUUGAGAGUCGCACAAGAAAAGUGUCGCCCGGCUCCUUGGCCCUCCUCCUCCGGCGGUGCUGCCGUCGUGAGCGAGCAUGGGGAAGGUAGCCAGGUCUCUCCUCCGUCAAGUAGGUGUAAGAUUAGGUUUAGGACUGAGUCUAGGUUUGCCUCUAUGGCGUUUGACGUGAUGUCGAGUUGGAGCUUCGUCCAGGCGUCCUCGAGCAGUGCUUGGAGGCUGGUUCUCUCCCGAGGUGAGCUUCCAUGGUGGAAGUCGACAGCGGGUGGUAGAUCUGGUGAUAGCUCCCCUAAUAAGCUCGAAUCUUUCCCUGAUCUGGAGGUUCUCCGUCGCCUUGUUCCAUUUGUCCGUCGCUGUCGUGGAGAUGGGGACAGAAAGUGGAAGAGGUGGAGCGCAAGUUUGUUUCGAUUGGGUUUGUGCAUAUUCUCAUCGGUGCUUGGAGUGGAGCUACGGCGCCCACUGGAGCUGCCGGUCUCCGACGCCUCCCCGGUGACCUUUCUGGCCGAAGGGCGGCCUGGUGAAGCCAUGCUGACUUUGUUUCUUCCUCCUGGCUUGAUGCCAUUUGAGAGGCAGCUGUUCAACUUCAACAUGGAGUCCUCUUCUUCCAUCUUUGUCCGGAGAUGGAGUAGCGGCGGUCCGGUGAUCCCAAGUGGCCACGUCCUCGGUGAUGGCCGGACUGGAUCUACGCUGGAGUUGAGUAUUGGACCCGAUUGUAAUCUUAAUCAUCAGGAUGGGGUCCUCCUUGUUAGUUUCAGGGACUAUGAUGUAAUUUCCUUUUCUUUUGAGUCCUGGUAUGAGCUCUGUACUGCAGCCGCUGAUAGUUAA
rnacentral:rRNA from 1 species